GUCUGGAUGCCUGAGUGGUCUAAGGGAACGGUCUGCAAAACCGUGUUUCGUGGGUUCGAAUCCCACUCCAGAUUCUACA
rnacentral:tRNA from 2 species